AUUGAACGCUGGCGGCAGGCCUAACACAUGCAAGUCGAACGCGUGGCGGACGGGUGAGUAAUGUCUGGGAAACUGCCUGAUGGAUGGGGAUAAGUACUGGAAACGGUAGCUAAUACAGCAUACCAUCAGAUGUGCCCAGAUGGGACUAGUUUGUUGGUGGGGUAACGGCGCACCAAGGACACGAUCCCUAGCUGGACUGAGAGGAUGACCAGCCACACUGGAACGGAGACACGGUCCAGACUCCUACGGGAGGCAGCAGUAGGGAAUAUUGCACAAUGGGCGCAAGCCUGAUGCAGCCAUGCCGCGUGUAUGAAGAAGGCCUUCGGGUUGUAAAGUACUGUCAGCAGGGAAGCGUUACCCGCAGAAGAAGCACCGGCUAACUCCGUGCCAGCAGCCGCGGUAAUUC
rnacentral:rRNA from 1 species